GCAAGUCGAACGAUGAACCCGCUUCGGUGGGGGAUUAGUGGCGAACGGGUGAGUAACACGUGGGCAAUCUGCCCUGCACUCUGGGACAAGCCCUGGAAACGGGGUCUAAUACCGGAUACCACCUGAGGGGGCAUCUCCUCGGGUUGAAAGCUCCGGCGGUGCAGGAUGAGCCCGCGGCCUAUCAGCUUGUUGGUGGGGUGAUGGCCUACCAAGGCGACGACGGGUAGCCGGCCUGAGAGGGCGACCGGCCACACUGGGACUGAGACACGGCCCAGACUCCUACGGGAGGCAGCAGUGGGGAAUAUUGCACAAUGGGCGAAAGCCUGAUGCAGCGACGCCGCGUGAGGGAUGACGGCCUUCGGGUUGUAAACCUCUUUCAGCAGGGAAGAAGCGAAAGUGACGGUACCUGCAGAAGAAGCGCCGGCUAACUACGUGCCAGCAGCCGCGGUAAUACGUAGGGCGCAAGCGUUGUCCGGAAUUAUUGGGCGUAAAGAGCUCGUAGGCGGCUUGUCACGUCGGAUGUGAAAGCCCGGGGCUUAACCCCGGGUCUGCAUUCGAUACGGGCAGGCUAGAGUGUGGUAGGGGAGAUCGGAAUUCCUGGUGUAGCGGUGAAAUGCGCAGAUAUCAGGAGGAACACCGGUGGCGAAGGCGGAUCUCUGGGCCAUUACUGACGCUGAGGAGCGAAAGCGUGGGGAGCGAACAGGAUUAGAUACCCUGGUAGUCCACGCCGUAAACGUUGGGAACUAGGUGUUGGCGACAUUCCACGUCGUCGGUGCCGCAGCUAACGC
rnacentral:rRNA from 1 species